rnacentral:rRNA from 1 species
UACGUAGGGGGCAAGCGUUGUCCGGAUUUACUGGGCGUAAAGAGCGCGUAGGCGGAACCGCCAGUCCGGCUUGAAAGCCCCCGGCUCAACCGGGGAGAGUGGCUGGAAACUGCGUUUCUUGAGGGCGAGAGAGGAGGGUGGAAUUCCUGGUGUAGCGGUGAAAUGCGUAGAGAUCAGGAGGAACACCCGUGGCGAAGGCGGCCCUCUGGCUCGACCCUGACGCUGAGGCGCGAAAGCGUGGGGAGCGAACGGG